CUCACAUAAGCUUAGAAAUACAUAAAGAUUACUUAGGGGCUUUUAUUCAUGUUCAUAGUUAAUGCCGUUUAAACGCGAACAAGUUUUCAAUAGAUAGCUUGCACUUGUGUCUUAACAGCUGCAUUCAGUUCGUAUCUAUUCGCUUAUAUGAUUCUGUUUUUGAAUUACCAAAGGAAUGUGCGGUUAAUGCUAAAAUGCCCAUAGGGGCCAAAGGUAGAUACUGCUGCAUAUCUG